GAUGAACGCUAGCUACAGGCUUAACACAUGCAAGUCGAGGGGCAGCAUGGUCUUAGCUUGCUAAGGCCGAUGGCGACCGGCGCACGGGUGAGUAACACGUAUCCAACCUGCCGUCUACUCUUGGACAGCCUUCUGAAAGGAAGAUUAAUACAAGAUGGCAUCAUGAGUCCGCAUGUUCACAUGAUUAAAGGUAUUCCGGUAGACGAUGGGGAUGCGUUCCAUUAGAUAGUAGGCGGGGUAACGGCCCACCUAGUCUUCGAUGGAUAGGGGUUCUGAGAGGAAGGUCCCCCACAUUGGAACUGGGACACGGUCCAAACUCCUACGGGAGGCAGCAGUGAGGAAUAUUGGUCAAUGGGCGAGAGCCUGAACCAGCCAAGUAGCGUGAAGGAUGACUGCCCUAUGGGUUGUAAACUUCUUUUAUAAAGGAAUAAAGUCGGGUAAGGAUACCCGUUUGCAUGUACUUUAUGAAUAAGGAUCGGCUAACUCCGUG
rnacentral:rRNA from 1 species